rnacentral:rRNA from 1 species
CCUACGGGAGGCAGCAGUGGGGAAUAUUGGGCAAUGGGCGAAAGCCUGACCCAGCCACGCCGCGUGAGUGAUGAAGGCCUUCGGGUCGUAAAGCUCUGUGGGGAGGGACGAACAAGCCGCGUACUAACACUACGUGGACCUGACGGUACCUCCUUAGCAAGCACCGGCUAACCCUGUGCCAGCAGCCGCGGUAAUACAGGGGGUGCAAACGUUGCUCGGAAUUAUUGGGCGUAAGGCGCGCGUAGGCGGUUACUUAAGUCGGAUGUGAAAGCCCUCGGCUCAACUGAGGAAGUGCACCCGAAACUGAGUAGCUUGAGUACUAAAGAGGGUCGCGGAAUUCCCGGUGUAGAGGUGGAAUUCGUAGAUAUCGGGAGGAACACCGGUGGCGAAGGCGGCGACCUGGGUAGAUACUGACGCUGAGGCGCGAAAGCGUGGGGAGCAAACUGGAUUAGAUACCCUGGUAGUCCACGCCGUAAACGAUGGGUGCUAGAUGUUUCUGGUAUUGACCCCGGAGGCGUCGUAGCUAACGCGUUAAGCACCCCGCCUGGGGAGUACGGCCGCAAGGCUAAAACUCAAAGGAAUUGACGG